UUACGGGAGGCAGCAGUGAGGAAUAUUGCGCAAUGGGGGCAACCCUGACGCAGCGACGCCGCGUGGAUGAUGAAGGCCUUCGGGUCGUAAAAUCCUGUCAAGUGGAAAGAAGUGCAUAUGUGCUAAUACCAUGUAUGUUUGACGGUACCACUGAAGGAAGCACCGGCUAACUCCGUGCCAGCAGCCGCGGUAAUACGGAGGGUGCAAGCGUUGUUCGGAAUUACUGGGCGUAAAGCGCGCGUAGGCGGUUUUAUAAGUCAGAUGUGAAAGCCCAUGGCUCAACCAUGGACGUGCAUUUGAAACUGUGAGACUUGAGUAUUGGAGGGGGUGGUGGAAUUCCCGGUGUAGAGGUGAAAUUCGUAGAUAUCGGGAGGAAUACCAGUGGCUAAGGCGACCACCUGGCCAAAUACUGACGCUCAUGUGCGAAAGCGUGGGGAGCAAACAGGAUUAGAUACCCGAGUAGUCCC
rnacentral:rRNA from 1 species